rnacentral:rRNA from 1 species
GUGGGGAAUAUUGGACAAUGGGCGCAAGCCUGAUCCAGCCAUGCCGCGUGAGUGAUGAAGGCCUUAGGGUUGUAAAGCUCUUUCGCCGGUGAAGAUAAUGACGGUAACCGGAGAAGAAGCCCCGGCUAACUUCGUGCCAGCAGCCGCGGUAAUACGAAGGGGGCUAGCGUUGCUCGGAAUCACUGGGCGUAAAGCGCACGUAGGCGGGUCGUUAAGUCAGGGGUGAAAUCCUGGAGCUCAACUCCAGAACUGCCUUUGAUACUGGCGACCUAGAGUUCGAGAGAGGUUGGUGGAACUCCGAGUGUAGAGGUGAAAUUCGUAGAUAUUCGGAAGAACACCAGUGGCGAAGGCGGCCAACUGGCUCGAUACUGACGCUGAGGUGCGAAAGCGUGGGGAGCAAACAGGAUUAGAAACCCUUGUAGUCC